GAUGAACGCUGGCGGCGUGCCUAAUACAUGCAAGUCGAGCGAACAGACGAGGAGCUUGCUCCUCUGACGUUAGCGGCGGACGGGUGAGUAACACGUGGAUAACCUACCUAUAAGACUGGGAUAACUUCGGGAAACCGGAGCUAAUACCGGAUAAUAUAUUGAACCGCAUGGUUCAAUAGUGAAAGACGGUUUUGCUGUCACUUAUAGAUGGAUCCGCGCCGCAUUAGCUAGUUGGUAAGGUAACGGCUUACCAAGGCGACGAUGCGUAGCCGACCUGAGAGGGGGAUCGGCCACAUGGGAGCUGAGACACGGACCAUGCUCCUAAGGGAGGCAGCAGUAGGGAAUCUUCCGCAAUGGGCGAAAGCCUGACGGAGCAACGCCGCGUGAGAGAUGAAGGUCUUCGGAGCGUAAAACUCUGUUAUUAGGGAAGAACAAAUGUGUAAGUAACUAUGCACGUCUUGACGGUACCUAAUCAGAAAGCCACGGCUAACUACGUG
rnacentral:rRNA from 1 species